rnacentral:tRNA from 1 species
GGUAGGGUGGCCGAGCGUUUAGGUGCCGGAUUGUAGCUCCGCAGACAGAGGUUCAAGUCCUCUCCCCAUCA